AAAUAAUCUACUGUUCCUUAUUUUUUAUCAUUCCUAGUGCUCCUACAAUUACUGAUAUUGUAACUGUCUUGAGAAGCCACAUUUUUUUUCGAUUUCAAU